AACGCUGGCGGCGUGCUUAACACAUGCAAGUCGCGGGGUAACAUCUGGUAGAGCUUGCUCUUCCAGGAUGACGACCGGCGCACGGGUGAGUAACGCGUAUCCAACCUGCCCUUCACCACGGAAUAAUCCAGUGAAAAUUGGUCUAAUACCGUAUGAGGUCAUACGAUGGCAUCAGAAUAUGACGAAAGGUUUAGCGGUGAAGGAUGGGGAUGCGUCUGAUUAGCUUGUUGGCGGGUAACGGCCCACCAAGGCUACGAUCAGUAGGGGUUCUGAGAGGAAGGUCCCCCACAUUGGAACUGAGACACGGUCCAAACUCCUACGGGAGGCAGCAGUGAGGAAUAUUGGUCAAUGGGCGAGAGCCUGAACCAGCCAAGUAGCGUGCAGGAAGACGGCCCUAUGGGUUGUAAACUGCUUUUAUGCGGGGAUAAACUGACUCACGUGUGGGUCAUUGCAGGUACCGCAUGAAUAAGGACCGGCUAAUUCCGUG
rnacentral:rRNA from 1 species